AUCGAUUACAACAGCAAUCAGCUGUUUUCUGGAUUGGUGUUAUAAAACGGCUGAAGGCGAUCAUAUAUUUUCAUUAUAUUUUAGGUUUUUGUGGAAUUCUUGUUCAAUUAGCGGAAUAAUCUACAAAAACUUGAAACCUGGAUAGCGUUAUGAAAAAAUAAAACUUAAUUUCUUUCGAUUAUAGAAUUCGUGCACAGAUUCCUUCAGGAAUCCAUUGUGAAACUAACUGGCAUUGAAUCAUCGAGGAAUUCCUAUCUUGGGAAAAUCCUCGCUUAAGAUUAUUUGGAAAUUCUGCGACUAUCAAUAUUUAUUUGUUUGUUUUUAUCAUGACGGAGUACAGCAACUACAAUUACCCAUAUGACCAAUCCCAAGAACCACAACAGGAACAGCAGCCGCAGCCCAUUGACAAGCUCAUAUCCACUAUCAGAGAGGAAAAUGAAGACUUGCGCGGAGACAUUCAGUCCCUUAGAGUCGAGAUUUCAAGGCUCGCGGAUGCAAUUACCAAUCAGACCGCUUUUAUGCAGCAGUACGUGAAUAUAGAAAGUGGCAGGACGAUAAUGGAGCCUGUGGAGAUACCAACCGUGUCUAUAAUCGAGCCGAUUCCAGUCAAAUUUCCUAUAGGUUGCGACUCUGAUUUAUUAUGCCUGAAUGAAUACAUUACAGCGGAUACAAGAGACUAUUAUGUGAAUCGAAUGAAAUCGAUAAUAGGCGUCGGAUCUUUGUCCAGAUCUUUAAAGGGCAUUUUAACGGCGAAACUUAUAAUGGAUUACAAUCUUGAAGGAGUUAACAACAAAAAAGAACUUCGAUGUUUCAAUAAUUAUAUAUCUGCUCUUUUUGAGGCGAUUCAAAUGGUUAAUCCCAUGGGGAACCCCGAAAAGUUACUUCGACAGGCGCUAGCUUGUAUCAAGAACGCAUACACCAAAAAAAGUUGUAAGGAAAGGAAACUUCUGAGGGAAAGCAAUCAGUCGCUACCUUGUAUCAAGAACUCAUCCACCAAAAGCUCAAAGGAAAAAAAACGCAUAAAGGUAGCCGAUCCUAUAUGCACGAAAUCAAUAAUUACAACAACCGCAAUAGGAAACCACAUUGACUUUCCCCUGACAUCUGAAAGCGAUCUAAUUUUAAUAGAUUCAGAAAUACAGAGACAUGACCAAGCUGAUUACAUAAAUAAAAUAAAGCUUUUGCUUAGUACCGGCAAACUUUCUCAAUCUUUAAAAAAUGUUAUGACAGAGGAACUCAUCGUCGACUUCAAUAUUCUUGGUCUUAAUUCUAAAAAAGCACUCAACCAGUAUUUAAACUUUUUCCCCAGUCUUUUGGAGGCAAUCCGCCUAGUGGACCCCACAAAGCCAGCUGAUUUGUUACUUACCAAAGCAAUGAUUUGCGUUAAAAAUAACUUACACAAGAAAAGGAGUAAAGUAAGAAAAAUUAAAGCAUAUGGAAUUUAAUGAUAAAGUUAAUAUAAAAUAUAUUUUUUUAUAAUAAAAAUAAUAAAUAAAUGAAUUUGACCUAAACUAUUUUUCUAAUUCAAAUUAUCGUAAAUUGGCGCUCAAUCAGAAACUGCGUUUAACAGUACACUGUUAAUACGUAGAAGGAGAGUAUCAUAUGUUUUGAGGCGUCUAGUGUUUGUUCUGACAAAAAUAAAAUAUUAUUUGCAAAAAUAAAUAUAAAAAACACACUUAUUCUUAAAAAAAUUUGCUCAAAAACCAAGUUUAAUCCUUACUUGUUGAUGUGAAACACUACUUCUUAAUGUAAGGAUCGUAAUUCACUUCGGAAUCCUUGGUGAAUACUUUUCCUUGUGAUUCCUGCAUGACUAAAACAAUUCAACCGCUAGGGUGAACUUUAUCCACAAUGGCAGAAGGAUCAAACACUCUUCGUCAUGACCAGCAACAACCCACUGUUGAACGCAUAUUGGCAGUAGUUAGAGAUGAAAACAAACGAAUGCAUGAGGAGGUUAGGACACUAAGGAACCAACUGAAGGAUCUGACUGGGGCUGUAGCCAUCCAGUCUGCUUAUAUGCAAGAAUAUAUGAAACAACAAUUUAUGCCCCAAAAACCUGCUACCAAAACCGUCACGAAAUUCAAAUUUCCUUUAGAGUCCGAAUCAGAUCUCGUGGAUAUUGAAAAUGCCAUCACCGAGGAUAAUCGACAGGAUUGUGUAGCACAAAUGAGAUCGAACAUUUUCAAAGUUGGAACCCUUUCCUCAUCCUUGACAAAUAUAUUGUCGGAAGAAAUGGUUGUUAAUUAUAAUAUAGAAGGAAUGCAUGGAAAAAAGCAACUGCGUUGUUAUACUAACUUUUUAAACGCACUCUUGGAUGCAAUCAAACUGUAUGAUGCUUCCGAACCGGCGAUUAAGCAACUAGGUCGUGCAAUUUCUAACGUAAAAGACAAAGUUUCCCGCAACAAAAUAAAAUUGGAAAAAAAUUUGAAUAGUACUGAGGUAGUCUACUUGGGCUCAACACCGAUUGACUAUGAUGAUAACUAUGAUGAUGCCGACGUGAUGCCGUCUAAGGACGAUGAUGAAGAUUUUAACGCAAAACAAAUAAUAACGAAAAAGGAGCAGGAAUACCUGAUAACUGAGCUGGUUGAUGAAAGUGUAUCGAAAUUAAAUGAGAUAGAAUUUCCACUACAAACGAACGCAGACUUAGAGGAAGUUGACAAUGAGAUAGCCAAUGGCAAAAAAAUUGAAUACACCGCCAAAUUAAAGUAUUUGCUUAGCGGAGAUAUUCUGCCCAGGACUCUCAAAAAUGUAAUUUCGAAGGAUCUUAUUUAUGAUAGCCAAUCACGCUCGAAAAAAAGAAACUUAAGAAAUAUAAAAAUAUGGAAAUACGAACAUUUUGAAGAUGCCCUUUUAGAUGUUAUUCAGGAACUGCACCCUAAGGAGGCAGCGAAACCCCUUCUUUUAAAAUCCUUGGCUGCAAUAAGAAAACACGAUAAUAAAAAACAAAAAAACAAUGAUGACGAUUACGUUUCAGAUGAGGAAGAUCCUCUAAUGGAUAUAUAGUUACUAAAACAAAAAAAAUAUUUUAAAAUAAAAACAAUUUAAUUUUUUA